rnacentral:rRNA from 1 species
GAGUUUGAUCAUGGCUCAGAUUGAACGCUGGCGGCAUGCCUUACACAUGCAAGUCGAACGGCAGCAUGAUCUAGCUUGCUAGAUUGAUGGCGAGUGGCGAACGGGUGAGUAAUACAUCGGAGCGUGCCCUGUAGUGGGGGAUAACUAGUCGAAAGAUUAGCUAAUACCGCAUACGACCUGAGGGUGAAAGUGGGGGACCGCAAGGCCUCAUGCUAUAGGAGCGGCCGAUGUCUGAUUAGCUAGUUGGUGGGGUAAAGGCCCACCAAGGCGACGAUCAGUAGCUGGUCUGAGAGGACGAUCAGCCACACUGGGACUGAGACACGGCCCAGACUCCUACGGGAGGCAGCAGUGGGGAAUUUUGGACAAUGGGGGCAACCCUGAUCCAGCAAUGCCGCGUGUGUGAAGAAGGCCUUCGGGUUGUAAAGCACUUUUGUCCGGAAAGAAAUCGCACUUACUAAUAUUAGGUGUGGAUGACGGUACCGGAAGAAUAAGGACCGGCUAACUACGUGCCAGCAGCCGCGGUAAUACGUAGGGUCCAAGCGUUAAUCGGAAUUACUGGGCGUAAAGCGUGCGCAGGCGGUUGUGCAAGACCGAUGUGAGAUCCCCGGGCUUAACCUGGGAAUUGCAUUGGUGACUGCACGGCUAGAGUGUGUCAGAGGGGGGGUAGAAUUCCACGUGUAGCAGUGAAAUGCGUAGAGAUGUGGAGGAAUACCGAUGGCGAAGGCAGCCCCCUGGGAUAACACUGACGCUCAUGCACGAAAGCGUGGGGAACAAACAGGAUUAGAUACCCUGGUAGUCCACGCCCUAAACGAUGUCAACUAGUUGUUGGGGAUUCAUUUCCUUAGUAACGUAGCUAACGCGUGAAGUUGACCGCCUGGGGAGUACGGUCGCAAGAUUAAAACUCAAAGGAAUUGACGGGGACCCGCACAAGCGGUGGAUGAUGUGGAUUAAUUCGAUGCAACGCGAAAAACCUUACCUACCCUUGACAUGCCACUAACGAAGCAGAGAUGCAUUAGGUGCUCGAAAGAGAAAGUGGACACAGGUGCUGCAUGGCUGUCGUCAGCUCGUGUCGUGAGAUGUUGGGUUAAGUCCCGCAACGAGCGCAACCCUUGUCUCUAGUUGCUACGAAAGGGCACUCUAGAGAGACUGCCGGUGACAAACCGGAGGAAGGUGGGGAUGACGUCAAGUCCUCAUGGCCCUUAUGGGUAGGGCUUCACACGUCAUACAAUGGUGCAUACAGAGGGUUGCCAAGCCGCGAGGUGGAGCUAAUCCCAGAAAAUGCAUCGUAGUCCGGAUCGUAGUCUGCAACUCGACUACGUGAAGCUGGAAUCGCUAGUAAUCGCGGAUCAGCAUGCCGCGGUGAAUACGU